rnacentral:lncRNA from 1 species
GGCCCGAUCGAUUGGUGAAUUUGCCCAGCCGGCAGACCUGCCCCGACCAGGCCUUACUGUCUUCCAGGAAAGGGGUGGAGAAGCCCCUCUGCCCUGCUGAGCAAGUUUGUCCCUCAACUGGCUGGUGACCGCUGCUCCUCUCUGGACUUCAGUUGCCCCAUCUGCGAAAUGAGCUUGCCUGAGUCCUGGGCUCAGCCUCUAAGGUUGAGGGGUCUGCAGUGGCUUCAGGCUGUGGUCUGGCUCUGUAGACCUUGAUGUGGUUGCAACGUUGUGGGAAAGGGGUGAAUUCGACAGGGAUCUUGGGCCCCCAACUACCCCUUCUGCCAGGACACC